rnacentral:sRNA from 1 species
AAUAAGAUUGCGUAAGGGAUAGCAGCGGCAUCCUCGUAGUGCAACGAAGAGAUAUAGCGAAUAGCUCGACCCGAA